GUACUUUCUGGUGACCCAGAACCAACAGGGAAAUAGGUAACUGAUUAACCUGGGGAGCUGUUCCCACGUCCUGUGUUUGGAAGAAAGAAACUAUUUUAAAAGUUAGAAACGAGUUGGAACAAUGUUGCAUUUAAGCUAAACUCAAGCAAGAGAUAUUUCUUGAGUGUAGAUUUCACACUAAGUUAUUCAUUUUGCUUUUGACAGUUAUGUUGAAUUAUAUUAGCUUUAUGGUAAUUUUGAGAAUAAAGGGUUUUGCUUGAUGAAUGAGCCCAAAUCUCAGUCCCACAGGUCAGGGAGGAGCGUGGACAGAGCACAGAGCACAGGCUGGGACUGGCUUUGGGAAGAGUCACUGGGGCAGUGGACACACUGGAGAGAGGGGUUCUUUCUGUGUGAGGUUGAGGGGAGCCUGGAGCUGAACGGGAAGAACUGGAAGAACUGGAAGGAGAAGCAGAAGGAACUUUGAUCCAUAGCAGAAACCUAGUGGUAUGGAUGCACCUUCCAGUAAGAGACCACUGGAGCUCCCACUAAGAAAAGUUUACAAACAAUUCAGCUGGAAGCAUGACUAGGGGAAGGACGUUACUCAGAGUACUAAGGGGGAAUUUCUACAGCAGUCCUCAAACCCAGCAAAUUCCACACAACUGCACCACUCCUCCUUCAGAGCAAGGCAGAGACAAAAGUGUAGGAAGUUUCCAUCCUGCCACCCUCGGAGGAGUGAAAUGAGCUCCCUCCGCCAGAGGAAUAAAUGCUUUGUCUGUGUCUCUCCCAGGUUCCUGCCUCUGGGUGGAAUCCACUGCAGCCCUUGCUUGAGUGGGUAGGAGAAAAAUGGGGGGAAGAGAGAAAGGGGGGGAUGGGACAGAGUGAGACAGGAAGGGCAGACGGGAAUGGCCAGAGGGAGAGCUUCCAAUUCAUGGGCUGGUUGCCCAGAUAGGUACUUGGACCCAGCUUCUCUGCUUCCCCCUGAGUGUGGAGAUUAUGCCGGAGCGAGACAGGGCUCAUGACUGGAAAGGGGACUGGGCUUCGGAAGGCGAGAAGUAAGGUUGGAAGUUUGGGCAGAGGGUGCACUGUUUAUAAUGGCGAAGGAGAUUCAGAAGUUUUGUUGAAAACAGAAAAGACUCGCUGGGGCCUCAUGGGUCUGAGAAGCAGUUUCACGGUAUUUGUGAAGAGGAAGCUGUUUCUUCCAGUCAGAAUCUCUGGAGGCCGGUUUCCCGACCAAUCAAAAGACGGUUCCAAAGAAACAGUGUUACGCUUGGUCCCCUACCCUGCGCUUGGGGCGAGAGGGCAGAGGGGCGCCUUCAGCGGAGUUGCCGCAGGCCUUUCUGGACUAUCCUCUGUUGGCGUUAAAAUUAGCCUUGAACC
rnacentral:lncRNA from 1 species